rnacentral:lncRNA from 1 species
GAGCCGGAGCAGGCGGCCCCAUUCUGGGUGGCCACCUCUUGAACCACUCAAGAACACCACAUCAACAUCAACUACUAAUUAAUCGAACUCUUCUAGGCUAAAUUAAGCUUAAUCAUGCACCUUGAUCCAUCUCUACCUAGGAGAUGGUAUCCAUAAGCACGUGAUCGAUCGAACACUUUUGAUGAUCUCCAGUUUCUCACUGUUACUCUUUCGAUCUCUCAAUUUUCUCAUCUUAGCUUCUUGAUUGAUCAGUCAGGAACGGUAUAUCAUUGGUGAUUGAGGCGGCACAUACUUGCUGCAGCAUAUUGUACCGUGUACUUUUUUAGUACUUAAUUAGUAACAAUAAUUAAUAUUAUUGACUGGUUUCAUAUAUAUGUGGAUGCAUCUAAAUCAAAACUCGUGACUUGAUUCUGUUAUCUAUAAUUAGUAGCAGUAAUUAAUAUUAUCG